rnacentral:rRNA from 1 species
GGGACACGUGGUAUCCUGUCUGAAUAUGGGGGGACCAUCCUCCAAGGCUAAAUACUCCUGACUGACCGAUAGUGAACCAGUACCGUGAGGGAAAGGCGAAAAGAACCCCGGCGAGGGGAGUGAAAAAGAACCUGAAACCGUGUACGUACAAGCAGUGGGAGCCUCUUAAUGGGGUGACUGCGUACCUUUUGUAUAAUGGGUCAGCGACUUAUAUUCUGUAGCAAGGUUAACCGAAUAGGGGAGCCGAAGGGAAACCGAGUCUUAACUGGGCGUUAAGUUGCAGGGUAUAGACCCGAAACCCGGUGAUCUAGCCAUGGGCAGGUUGAAGGUUGGGUAACACUAACUGGAGGACCGAACCGACUAAUGUUGAAAAAUUAGCGGAUGACUUGUGGCUGGGGGUGAAAGGCCAAUCAAACCGGGAGAUAGCUGGUUCUCCCCGAAAGCUAUUUAGGUAGCGCCUCGUGAAUUCAUCUCCGGGGGUAGAGCACUGUUUCGGCAAGGGGGUCAUCCCGACUUACCAACCCGAUGCAAACUGCGAAUACCGGAGAAUGUUAUCACGGGAGACACACGGCGGGUGCUAACGUCCGUCGUGAAGAGGGAAACAACCCAGACCGCCAGCUAAGGUCCCAAAGUCAUGGUUAAGUGGGAAACGAUGUGGGAAGGCCCAGACAGCCAGGAUGUUGGCUUAGAAGCAGCCAUCAUUUAAAGAAAGCGUAAUAGCUCACUGGUCGAGUCGGCCUGCGCGGAAGAUGUAACGGGGCUAAACCAUGCACCGAAGCUGCGGCAGCGACACUAUGUGUUGUUGGGUAGGGGAGCGUUCUGUAAGCCUGUGAAGGUGGCCUGUGAGGGUUGCUGGAGGUAUCAGAAGUGCGAAUGCUGACAUAAGUAACGAUAAAGCGGGUGAAAAGCCCGCUCGCCGGAAGACCAAGGGUUCCUGUCCAACGUUAAUCGGGGCAGGGUGAGUCGACCCCUAAGGCGAGGCCGAAAGGCGUAGUCGAUGGGAAACAGGUUAAUAUUCCUGUACUUGGUGUUACUGCGAAGGGGGGACGGAGAAGGCUAUGUUGGCCGGGCGACGGUUGUCCCGGUUUAAGCGUGUAGGCUGGUUUUCCAGGCAAAUCCGGAAAACCAAGGCUGAGGCGUGAUGACGAGGCACUACGGUGCUGAAGCGACAAAUGCCCUGCUUCCAGGAAAAGCCUCUAAGCAUCAGGUAACAUCAAAUCGUACCCCAAACCGACACAGGUGGUCAGGUAGAGAAUACCAAGGCGCUUGAGAGAACUCGGGUGAAGGAACUAGGCAAAAUGGUGCCGUAACUUCGGGAGAAGGCACGCUGAUAUGUAGGUGAAGCGACUUGCUCGUGGAGCUGAAAUCAGUCGAAGAUACCAGCUGGCUGCAACUGUUUAUUAAAAACACAGCACUGUGCAAACACGAAAGUGGACGUAUACGGUGUGACGCCUGCCCGGUGCCGGAAGGUUAAUUGAUGGGGUUAGCGGUAACGCGAAGCUCUUGAUCGAAGCCCCGGUAAACGGCGGCCGUAACUAUAACGGUCCUAAGGUAGCGAAAUUCCUUGUCGGGUAAGUUCCGACCUGCACGAAUGGCGUAAUGAUGGCCAGGCUGUCUCCACCCGAGACUCAGUGAAAUUGAACUCGCUGUGAAGAUGCAGUGUACCCGCGGCAAGACGGAAAGACCCCGUGAACCUUUACUAUAGCUUGACACUGAACAUUGAGCCUUGAUGUGUAGGAUAGGUGGGAGGCUUUGAAGUGUGGACGCCAGUCUGCAUGGAGCCGACCUUGAAAUACCACCCUUUAAUGUUUGAUGUUCUAACGUUGGCCCGUAAUCCGGGUUGCGGACAGUGUCUGGUGGGUAGUUUGACUGGGGCGGUCUCCUCCUAAAGAGUAACGGAGGAGCACGAAGGUUGGCUAAUCCUGGUCGGACAUCAGGAGGUUAGUGCAAUGGCAUAAGCCAGCUUGACUGCGAGCGUGACGGCGCGAGCAGGUGCGAAAGCAGGUCAUAGUGAUCCGGUGGUUCUGAAUGGAAGGGCCAUCGCUCAACGGAUAAAAGGUACUCCGGGGAUAACAGGCUGAUACCGCCCAAGAGUUCAUAUCGACGGCGGUGUUUGGCACCUCGAUGUCGGCUCAUCACAUCCUGGGGCUGAAGUAGGUCCCAAGGGUAUGGCUGUUCGCCAUUUAAAGUGGUACGCGAGCUGGGUUUAGAACGUCGUGAGACAGUUCGGUCCCUAUCUGCCGUGGGCGCUGGAGAACUGAGGGGGGCUGCUCCUAGUACGAGAGGACCGGAGUGGACGCAUCACUGGUGUUCGGGUUGUCAUGCCAAUGGCACUGCCCGGUAGCUAAAUGCGGAAGAGAUAAGUGCUGAAAGCAUCUAAGCACGAAACUUGCCCCGAGAUGAGUUCUCCCUGACUCCUUGAGAGUCCUGAAGGAACGUUGAAGACGACGACGUUGAUAGGCCGGGUGUGUAAGCGCAGCGAUGCGUUGAGCUAACCGGUACUAAUGAACCGUGAGGCUUAACCUU